AGUGAACGCUGGCGGUAGGCCUAACAUAUGCAAGUCGAACGGCAGCACAGUAAGAGCUUGCUCUUACGGGUGGCGAGUGGCGGACGGGUGAGGAAUACAUCGGAAUCUACUUUUUCGUGGGGGAUAACGUAGGGAAACUUACGCUAAUACCGCAUACGACCUACGGGUGAAAGCAGGGGAUCUUCGGACCUUGCGCGAUUGAAUGAGCCGAUGUCGGAUUAGCUAGUUGGCGGGGUAAAGGCCCACCAAGGCGACGAUCCGUAGCUGGUCUGAGAGGAUGAUCAGCCAAACUGGAACUGAGACACGGUCCAGACUCCUACGGGAGGCAGCAGUGGGGAAUAUUGGACAAUGGGCGCAAGCCUGAUCCAGCCAUACCGCGUGGGUGAAGAAGGCCUUCGGGUUGUAAAGCCCUUUUGUUGGGAAAGAAAAGCAGCAGGUUAAUACCCCGCUGUUCUGACGGUACCCAAAGAAUAAGCACCGGCUAACUUCGUG
rnacentral:rRNA from 1 species